CCGGAGCUAACGCGUUAAGUCGACCGCCUGGGGAGUACGGCCGCAAGGUUAAAACUCAAAUGAAUUGACGGGGGCCCGCACAAGCGGUGGAGCAUGUGGUUUAAUUCGAUGCAACGCGAAGAACCUUACCUACUCUUGACAUCCAGAGAACUUAGCAGAGAUGCUUUGGUGCCUUCGGGAACUCUGAGACAGGUGCUGCAUGGCUGUCGUCAGCUCGUGUUGUGAAAUGUUGGGUUAAGUCCCGCAACGAGCGCAACCCUUAUCCUUUGUUGCCAGCGGUUCGGCCGGGAACUCAAAGGAGACUGCCAGUGAUAAACUGGAGGAAGGUGGGGAUGACGUCAAGUCAUCAUGGCCCUUACGAGUAGGGCUACACACGUGCUACAAUGGCGCAUACAAAGAGAAGCGACCUCGCGAGAGCAAGCGGACCUCAUAAAGUGCGUCGUAGUCCGGAUCGGAGUCUGCAACUCGACUCCGUGAAGUCGGAAUCGCUAGUAAUCGUAGAUCAGAAUGCUACGGUGAAUACGUUCCCGGGCCUUGUACACACCGCCCGUCACACCAUGGGAGUGGGUUGCAAAAGAAGUAGGUAGCUUA
rnacentral:rRNA from 1 species